rnacentral:rRNA from 1 species
CCUACGGGUGGCUGCAGUGAGGAAUAUUGGUCAAUGGGGGCAACCCUGAACCAGCAACGCCGCGUGGGUGAUGAAGGUUUUCGGAUCGUAAAGCCCUUUUGCAGGUGACGAGGAAGGACGGUAGCCUGCGAAUAAGUGUCGGCUAACUACGUGCCAGCAGCCGCGGUAAAACGUAGGACACAAGCGUUAUCCGGAAUUACUGGGCGUAAAGCGCCAGCAGGCGGUUGCCUAAGUCGAUGGUGAAAGCGCCAGGCUAAACCUGGAGAGGUCCGUCG